AGAGGCACAGCCAGGACGUUGCCGGUGGUGAAUCUUUCGCUCACGUCCAGCUCCUCCGCCGACAUGCCCUCCGGCAACCUCCACGAACGCGUGCAGCAGCGACGCCAGCAGGUGCGGCACGACGCGCUCGGCCAUGGGCAGGCCGGGGCACUGCCUCCGGCCACCCGAACGGGAGGAACUCGAACUCGAAGCUCCGUCCUUCCCCUUGAAGUCCAGCCCCGCCGCCUUGCCCAGGAAGCGCUCCGGCACGAACUCGCCCGGGUCCUCCCACACCGCCGGGUCCCGCAUGAUCGCCCACACGUUGAUGAAGACCGUGCAGCCCUUGGGCACCGCGUAGCCGCAUACCUCGACGCCGUCCUCCACGGCCUUGUGGGGCACCAGCAGGGGCGCCACCGGGUGCAGCCGCAUGGCUUCCUUUAAUUCACCACGGCCUGGAGGUAUGGCAGGCUCGCCGCGUCAGCCUCUCCGAUCGUCUCCUUGCCCCCGAGAGCCCCGCCGAUCUCCGCGUGCACCCUGGCCAUGGCGCCCGGGUUGCGGAGCAGCUCGGCCAUCGCCCACUCCAUCGUGACCGUGAUCGUGUCGCUGCCGGUGAUGAAGACCUCGAAAACGAUGGCCUUCACGGUCUCUCGGUCGAUCUUGCCCGCGGACAUGAGGUCGAGGAGCACCUGCAGGAAGUCGCCGUGCCUAUCGUCGUCCUUGGAGGAGGCGGCCGCCGCGUUCUCGGCCAGCCGGCGCUCGAUUAUGCCGUCCACGAUGCGGUAGAUCUCCCGGCCGCCUCGCGACGCCGCCCCUGCAGGUCGAGCGCGGGUGAAUGUUUUCCGACGGCACCGUCCGGGGGAGUAAACUUUGCUGCCGUCAGAUGAAUUUCUCGAGAUGUGUGCUGUGCCAGGCGCUGUGCCUUGUGCUCCAUUUUCUGCCUCGCAUCUGAGGCACAACCCCCCGGAUCUAUUUUCUCCAUUUUCUGCCUCGCAUCUGAGGCGCAACCCCCCGGACCUAUUUGUCAGUUCUUUCCCCUUCCUCAAAUCGCUGCUAUCUUUCUCUCUCCCUUUCCCUUUCUUCUUUCCUGUUGCUCAUCUCUAACACCUCUCUCUCCCUUCAGUCUCUCUCCCCCUUCUCCAGUCCAUCGGCGCGCCAGGCCUUCCCCCUGCCACUACCACCAUGGAUCCCCUGUCUACCAUGGCUCCUGUGUGUGGCGCGUCCGGUUAUGGACAGAGAUUAGAAGAACUCGUUUUCCGCUGCUACUGUGGUGAUCCCGCAUGGUGCGUAACCUCAGGCAACCCCAAAUCCGUUCCCGGCCAUGGUAUGGACCGGAAGGGAUCUGAAAUCAAUCUCGAUUUGGGUCAGUUUGGGUCUUGGCCCCCAAUCAUCGAGCCAGCGCUAAGGCAAUUGCUGAAAAGAGUUACUUCAUUCAAUUGCUAGCUGAAAAUGCUGCACGAAUGGUUACAGAGGGUGAUCAGGAUGCAGAAUCGUUUGAUAUUGCAAGGAUAUGAGCAGAGUAUUCCAGGAGACAGCUGAUUACAUCAAAAUGAAGACUUUGUGUGCUGCUGUUGGAUAGCAGUUAGAAGACGACACAAGCUGCAAUGAGCAAGACAAUGGUGCCUAUACAGAUGACCAAACUGGUGAUGCUCAGUAUUCAGCUGUGUAGGCUUGUAAUAUGAUGUAAAAAGUGUUAAGUAGAUGGUGUUAUUACUGACUUAAGUACCAACAGACUUGGUACGAAACUGUGGUAUUCACAUGUAAAUAUGAGUACUCGGUACGAAACCGUGGUAUUCACAUGUAAAUAUGAGUACUCGGCAUGCAUGAUCAGUAUAUGUUCUUUAUUUCAUGGUA